UUGGGAAGGAUUCCCUCUUUCUGGAUUAUUUGGAAUAGUUUCAGAAGGAAUGGUAACAGUUCCUCUUGUGUGUCUGGUAGAAUUUGGCUGUGGACCCAUCUGGACCUGGGCUUUUCUUGUAUGGUAGGCUGUAAAUUGCUGCCUCAACUUCAGAUCUUGUUAAUGUGUCAGUAUCUUCAAGAGCAGCUGCAUCCUUCUAGAGUGCUCUUUUAGUACACAGGAAAGGCCCAAGAUAUAGACAUUUUAUUUGCUGUUAUAUAUGUUAGUCAACUCAAAUAAAUUAUUUUUAAUAAUAACUUUAGAAAAGAGGACUAUAUAAUUCAUAAUUAAAACAGAAUGGAUAUCCUUAAUAGAUAAUCUAUAAGCCUUGAUAUUAUUAAAUAUGAAAAUUCAAUAAUCUGCCACUAAUUGUCCACCAAAUAAAUCAUAAUAUCUAAAAAGGCAAGAAAGUUAUACUUUGUAAAGUCAAACAAUUUACAUAUAAGAGGUGACUUUUAAAGAAUGAGAUUGAUUUUGACAGAUGUGCCAGAAUUUAUAUAGUCAUAUGGGUAUGUUCCCUAAAAUCUGAGGUCUACGGAGAAUUACUUAAUAAAACGCAGUUGCAUUGACUUCGAGAUAUUUUAUUUCCAGAUCUCUUCCUCAUUUCAACAGGUCAGGCCAACAAAUGAUUUCUGACAUUUCUAAAAAUUGAAUCCAGACUCAAAGUACGAAACUGCAUCCAUAGUCAUUCAGACACCUGUCAGAGUUUCUCUGGAAGGAAUUUCAAAGCAGAAUUUUAAAACUGUCUAGAGCCAAUUGGUAGUAUCUCCAACGUGUUAAGAAUAGUACCAGUUGCUCAAUAAACAAUAUUUAAUUUAACUCUCCCCACAGUGCUAUGAGUUGAUAUUUCAAUAUGCUUUCAUGCUUCCGUAGUAACUGGUUCUUGUCCUCAUCAUGGCAUGUAACACACUUAUUCCUCCUUUAGGUUUCUUUAGGCAGGAGCUAUGUUGUAUCUACUGUUUUAUCCCCACUGCCAGAGCAGGGGUUGGAACAUGACAUGUACUCAGCAAAAUGUGUUGAGUCGAUGAAUAGUAUUAUCUUCAUUAUAAACUCAUAACAUUGAGUUUCAAAAGUGUUAGAUGAGAUCAGACAGCUAGUAAAUGGCAUAG
rnacentral:lncRNA from 1 species